CACCAUGGGGACCAUCACAAAAAAGACAGCUCCCAAAUGCAAUCAUUUCCCGGUAAAUUUCUACCCUUCAGCCCACUCUCCCUUCUCGGCCUCCACGCCCCUCCUCCCCUUGACCUCAGUUCCCUGGUUUCUCGAGGGGGCGGGGUGUGUUGUGUGCGUGCGCGUAUGUGUGUGUGUGUGUGUGUGUGUAUUUAAAAAGUCCAAGAUUGAGGAGGGGCUGGACCCAGAAGAGAUGGGCUUGCAAACCUCCCCCCAAGACUCCGGGCCCGCAGCGGCCAUGCUCCAGUGCAGACAGACAAUCGGACGGGAUGGUCGUUGGAUGCCCGUUGUUCACUUCCAUCCCCGUUGGUCACUUCCGUCCCCAUGCAGACAUCACUAACAGAUCACAACACCCUCUCCUGCUGACCCGUGCAGCGGCUCUGCACCUUUCAGCAGCCUCCACUAAACAAAUAAGGUAAAACCUGUGUUCAAUCCCUACCCAGCUUACGGGCACCUUGAACUCUCUUAAUCUGCUUUAUAUCAUGUUCAUUUUUUCACCUCCCACUGCCUGCAAUCAAAGUCAGCUUGGGACACACUUAUCAAACACCUCAUUUUCUUUAUAGAUCUAGCUUUCAGACUUCAUUGGCUAAUGAAUUCCUUCUGGUCAGAAUCACUGUCCACUCGUGCAUUCUCCUGUCACAUGGUUAUGUAUCCUCUAUUCAGGGGCUGAGCAGCAGGUGAGACUUGGAGACAUUUUAAGGAAAAAGUGAAGGGUAAAGCCCCUUAGGGAAGCACUCUGGGGGAUACACCUGGAGUGGAGGCUGGCUCCACCAUUUCUUAGCUCUGGCACUUUGGGCAGGUCAGCUAAUCACACAGAGCUUCAGUUUUUCUCUCUGUGAAAUGGGGACAUGGAGAGCUAUGCAAGACUCUUCUAAGGAUAGUCAGAGCCCAGUGGUUUAGUUCCAAAGUAUUUAAUGAGCACCUACUAUGUGCAAGGCAUUCUACGAGGCACCAGAGAUGUCAAAAUGAAUAAGACAUCCAUGCUAACAGCCUAGCAAAUAGACCUCUUACCCUAUGCUGUAGAGAAUGUUCCAAAAAUGUCAUCUGUAUCAACUCCUUCAUAACAAGCUGGCUGUUGCUAUCCUCCCCACUCUACAGAUGAGAAGACUGAGCCACAGGCUGACUAGGGGAC
rnacentral:lncRNA from 1 species